UGGGGAAUAUUGGACAAUGGGGGAAACCCUGAUCCAGCGACGCCGCGUGGGUGAAGAAGGCCUGCGGGUUGUAAAGCCCUUUCGGUAGGGAAGAAAUCUCUUGCUCUAACAAAGCAAGGGUUUGACUUAACCUACAUAAGAAGCACCGGCUAACUCUGUGCCAGCAGCCGCGGUAAUACAGAGGGUGCGAGCGUUAAUCGGAAUUACUGGGCGUAAAGCGCACGUAGUCGGCUUGCCAAGUCGGGUGUGAAAUCCCCGGGCUCAACCUGGGAACUGCAUCCGAAACUGGCUUGCUAGAGUAUGGGAGAGGGAGGCGGAAUUUCUGGUGUAGCAGUGAAAUGCGUAGAUAUCAGAAGGAACAUCAGUGGCGAAGGCGGCCUCCUGGACCAAUACUGACGAUCAGGUGCGAAAGCGUGGGGAGCAAACAGG
rnacentral:rRNA from 1 species